CGAACGGGUGAGUAAUGCGUGACCAACCUGCCCCAUGCUCCAGAAUAGCUCUUGGAAACGGGUGGUAAUGCUGGAUGCUCCAACUUGACGCAUGUCUUGUUGGGAAAGUGUUUAGUGGCAUGGGAUGGGGUCGCGUCCUAUCAGCUUGUAGGCGGGGUAAUGGCCCACCUAGGCUUCGACGGGUAGCCGGCCUGAGAGGGCGGACGGCCACAUUGGGACUGAGAUACGGCCCAGACUCCUACGGGAGGCGCAGAC
rnacentral:rRNA from 1 species